rnacentral:rRNA from 1 species
AUGGGCAAUCAUGGUUGUUCCCGACUCAGCAAGAAGAUGAUCGAGGGUUGGCGGCACGGCUGCUUCGUUGUCAUCUUCGACGAGCACCGUCCGACACGAUUUUCCGCUGACAUGUACCAUGGAAUGUCACUGCUUUUAUCAUGGCAUCCAACACUUGCAGAUGUGACUCAAAAUGGGAUUCUGAAGGUAAUGAACUUGGAUAGCCUGAUAGUGUACCAUACCAACAACCAUCUCCAAGGACAUGAACUUGAAAAGUUUCUAAGAUUCAUACACACCUUCAGAAUCAGACUAGGCCUACCAGGCUACCACGAGGUCACCUCAGUUGAUUUCAGACUAGCUGAGCUCCUGGAUAGCUUUGCAAUUCGAUGCUCGAAAUAUCAGACGACAUAA